UAGGUUGCAGACACGGCGGAUCCUGUGUUGCUGUGGCUCUGGCGUAGGCCAGUGGCUACGGCUCCGAUUCAACCCCUAGCCUGGGAAUCUCCAUAUGCCCCGGGAGCAGACCUAGAAAAAGGCAAAAAGACAAGACAAAAAAAAAAAAAAAAGAGAAAAGAAAAGAAAAGAAAAAGAAAAAAGAAGAGGAUUCCCCGUCAUGGUGCAGCAGAAACAAAUCAAUUAGUAACUAUAAGGUUGUGGUUUCGAUCCCUGGCCUCACUCAGUGGGUUAAGGAUCCAGUGUUGCAGGAGCUGUAGUACAGGUCGCAGACGCGGCUGGGACCUGAUGUUGCUGCGGCUGUGGGGUAGGCUGGCAGCUGUAGCUCCAAUUCAACCCCUAGCCUGGGAAUCUCCAAGUGCCACGGGUUCAGCCCUAAAAAUCAAAAGAAAAAAGAAAAAAAAAAAGAAAAUUGAAUUAUUAAUUCCUCAAAAAAACACAGGAUUACUGAAAGCAAAGCAAUGGACUUCACAUAAGCAUAUACAUAAAUAAACACACACACACACUUCUCCACCCAAACACACUUUUGGUUCUUAUGCCUCAGAACAGAGCCAAAAGUCUUCUAAUUGGACAUUCAGCAACUUCUUUUUGUUUGGCUUUCUACCUUCUGAAACAAGCCAAGCUGUGCAGUUAGUGCAUUCCAGAUAAUAAAAAGCAAAUCAGGCAGAACAAAAAUGAGGACACUGCAUAUGUGCCAGCUAAAAGGCAUGGGCAGGGGUCAGACCAUUUCCUUUUGCUUUCGAAAAGCACUUGGGUUUCUUCAAAUUGGAAACAAAAUAACUUAGUGUUUGGGUCCCUGCUACCACCACCACUAUCUCCCUCUUCUAAAGUUAUCUAAAAUCUUCUUUUAAAAAAAGGAAAGAAAUAAAGCACCCAGACAGAAAAAAACAAACAAACAAAAAAAACCUUUAAUAGCGAUCUCAGGACCUGUCCCAAAGAUGGCUGCUGCAAGCAGAAACACGGUCCAUGGCUGCCAGAUCAGAUCUUUCAAAGCAGCCUGAAUCCACAUUUUUACAUGAAAUUUCCCUGUUUUUUAAUGUUGACAACUAAUUCAAAUUUACAACACUGUGUGAGCCAAACAAAACACAUCUGCUGACUGGAUUUAGUCCACAAGCCUUCAGUUUUCAACCUCUACCAUAAAAAGAAAAACACAUGAGUUCCCGUCGUGGCGCAGCAGAAAUGAAUCUGACUAGUAACCAUGAGGAUGCAGGUUCAAUCCCUAGCCUUGCUCAGUGGGCUAAGGAUCCGGUAUUGCUAUGAGCCGUGGUGGAGGUUGGAGACACGGCUUGGAUGUGGCAUGGCUGAGGCUGUGGCGUAGGCCAGCAGCUUUAGCGCCCAUUCGACCCCUAGCCUGGGAACCUCCAUUUGCCAUGGCUGCAGUCCUGAAAUACAAAACAAAACAAAACAAAAUACAUAUGUAUGAACAUACAUGUGAAACCCUUAAUGCUUGGAAGGAAGGCAAGAAGAAAAUUAUCUUACUCCUUACACACUAAGGUGCUCCAUUUCUACCACAAAAAUAGGAACUGUAAACAAAAGCCAGUGGAAGAAUAAUAGGAAAUGGAUAUGGAUUUUAGUGAAACUGAACUCACUAAUGUUCAGCUUCCUCAGUAUGGGCAUUAGCCCAUAACUUCUAGACAAAAAGAAAACCUGCUUUUUCAAUGACAUGGCAUUUACUUUGGUUUAAAACAAGCUAAACAAGAGCUCCCUUGAGAGUCUAAGAUAGUCAAACUUUCAGAAAGGGUACUCAUGACUCUUAAGUCUCCUGGUAAACUGUGGGCAAUUACUUUAUGGAUUAUAAACCUGCACUACGAACUCUAGAGUGCUGGUUCUUAAACUAUAAGACACUAAUGAAUCUGAUGCGGAAGCUAACGACUCUAAGAAAACACCCUCCCUCACAAAAACAUUAAGAGUUCAGGAACCCUCUGUAGUCCAUGGAUCAUGGACUAAGCACGUCAUGCUCUAGAGAGUAUUAAAACUAGGUUAUCUCCAAACACUGCCCUCCUUCCCACUGGUGCCUCUCCACUCCCAUCUCUCUACUUCAGGCAACUAUCAUCUCCCACGCUGGACUAGUCCAACGGCCCCUGAACUGACAGUCCCCACAAUCCAUUUCCCACAUCCCUGCAAAAGUGAAUCUGAAACAUACAUCAGGAGGCUUCAUGGCUUCCCUCAACAACCUCACCUCUCCAUCUCACCUUUCACCACUUUCCUCGUUAUGUGUGAGCCUCCCCUGGCCUCUUUUCAGUUCUGAAAAUACACUACACUCUUCCCACCUUCUAGCUUUGGCACUUGCUCUUCCCUCUACACCUAGAACGCCAUCUUGAUGUCCUACAAAACUGUCUCCUCACUCUCAUCCACAAAGAACUUCUCUGACCGCCCUUCGGUCUCUCCUUUUAUUGGUGUCUGUCAAGUCCCCUGCUUGAUACCUCCACUUCACUUCUCUCAGUUUGUAGUUUAUUUGCUCACCUGUUGCGUCUUCCCCCAUUAUACUGUAGGCUCCCAAUAUGCAAGACCCCUUCUGUCUCACACUCCCCUGUACUCCCUGAGCCUAGCACAGGGCAGGUUCUCAGGCACUAUUAAUUGUAU
rnacentral:lncRNA from 1 species